rnacentral:rRNA from 1 species
AGUGAACGCUGGCGGUAGGCCUAACACAUGCAAGUCGAACGGCAGCACAGUAAGAGCUUGCUCUUACGGGUGGCGAGUGGCGGACGGGUGAGGAAUACAUCGGAAUCUACUUUUUCGGGGGGGAUAACGUAGGGAAACUUACGCUAAUACCGCAUACGACCUACGGGUGAAAGCAGGGGAUAUUCGGACCUUGCGCGAUUGAAUGAGCCGAUGUCGGAUUAGAGAGUUGGCGGGGGAAAGGCCCACAAAGGCGACGUUCCGUAGCUGGUCUGAGAGGAUGAUCAGCCACACUGGAACUGGGCCACGCUCCAGACUCCUACGGGAGGCAGCAGUGGGGAAUAUUGGACAAUGGGCGCAAGCCUGAUCCAGCCAUACCGCGUGGGUGAAGAAGGCCUUCGGGUUGUAAAGCCCUUUUGUUGGGAAAGAAAAGCAGCAGGUUAAUACCCCGCUGUUCUGACGGUACCCAAAGAAUAAGCACCGGCUAACUUCGUG